rnacentral:misc_RNA from 1 species
AGUAAAUUUUUUAGAGAGAAAUUCUUUGAGAUUCAGAUCUGUAAACAAAUACCCAACAAGCACAAACAAUCACAGUAACAAAAUGGCGACAGUGUCUCCACUCUCUCCACUCGCUAAAUACAAGCUGGUGUUCUUGGGAGAUCAAUCUGUAGGCAAAACCAGCAUCAUCACUCGCUUCAUGUACGAUAAAUUCGACACGACUUACCAGGCUACCAUUGGGAUUGAUUUUUUGUCCAAAACAAUGUACCUUGAAGAUCGGACGGUUCGUUUACAGCUUUGGGAUACUGCUGGGCAAGAAAGAUUUAGGAGUCUCAUACCAAGCUAUAUCAGAGAUUCUUCUGUUGCUGUAAUUGUCUUUGAUGUGGCCAAUAGGCAAUCAUUUUUGAACACUUCUAA